ACUGUAUAGAGUAUCUGUAUAGAGACUGUAUAGAGUAUCUGUAUAGAUACUGUAUAGAGUAUCUGUACAGAGUAUCCGUAUAGAGUAUCUGUAUAGAUACUGUAUAGAGUAUCUGUAUAGAUCUACCAGCAGUUGUUUUUGAAGGCUGAGGGAGAACACUGUUAUACAAUUUGGUUAAAGUAUUUCCAAACAGGGAAAUGCAUAAUCAUGUGUGGAGUAGUGUCUUCGAUGUAGCCUAACUAUACUGGAGUAGUGUCCUCGAUGUAGCCUAACUAUGCUGGAGUAGUGUCUUCGAUGUAGCCUAACUAUACUGGAGUAGUGUCCUCGAUGUAGCCUAACUAUGCUGUAGUAGUGUCCUCGAUGUAGCCUAACUAUACUGGAGUAGUGUCCUCGAUGUAGCCUAACUAUGCUGUAGUAGAAAUACAGUAACUGUCAUACAGGUGUGUGGAAAUACAGUAACUGUCAUAUAGGUGUGUGGAAAUACAGUAACUGUCAUACAGGUGUGUGGAAAUACAGUAACUGUCAUAGGUGUGUGGAAAUACAGUAACUGUCAUACAGGUGUGUGGAAAUACAGUAACUGUCAUAUAGGUGUGUGGAAAUACAGUAACUGUCAUAUAGGUGUGUGGAAAUACAGUAACUGUCAUACAGGUGUGUGGAAAUACAGUAACUGUCAUAUAGGUGUGUGGAAAUACAGUAACUGUCAUAUAGGUGUGUGGAAA
ensembl:lncRNA